GACGAACGCUGGCGGCAUGCUUAACACAUGCAAGUCGAACGAAAAGCGGUGGACGGUUGCCUCUGUCAAUCUAAGUGGCGAAUGGGAGAGUAAAACGUACCCAACCGGCCCUUCAGAGGGGGACAACACUUGGAAAAGACUGCUAAUAACCCAUGCGUUCCAGCCUCGGCAUCGAGGCCGUAUGGCAGGCGGCCUCUAUUUAUAAGCUAUAGCUGAAGGAGGGGAUUACGGCUGAUUAGCCCGUUGGUGGGGUAACGGCCCACCAAGGCGAUGAUCAGUAGGCGGUCUUAGAGGAUGAACGGCCAAAACUGGAAUUGGACACGGCCCAGACCCCUACGGGAGGGAGGAAGGGGGGAUUUUUCGCCAUGGAGGAAAGUCCUGCUGAAGAACGCCGGGGGGGAGAUGACGGGCUUCCGGUUGUAAAGCUCUUUUUGUCGGGACGAAUGGUUCUUGUGCGAAUAGAGCGAGGUUUUGACGGUACCGGAAUAGAAAGCCACGGCUAACUACGUG
rnacentral:rRNA from 1 species